UAUUAGCAUGACAUGAUUUUCAAGAUUGGAAUGGUAUACAUUUUCUUAAAUGUUUGAUUGACUUUUUACAAAAAGAAAGAUAAUAAGUUGUUUUUGUUUUUAAUUUGUUCAUCAGAUAUAUUUUAAGACAUUAUAAUAUUUUAGUUAUUAUCUUUCUUUUUGUAAUAUUUUUUAUAAUGAGAACAUAUUUUAUAUCAUCUUCGUAUAUAUCUUAACUAAAAUUCUUUAUAUUUUAUUUUUUUAUUAGUCUUUAUACAGAUUUUAAGUUUGUAUUAGCAUGACAUGAUUUUCAAGAUUGGAAUGGUAUACAUUUUCUUAAAUGUUUGAUUGACUUUUUAUAUAUAUAUAUAUAUAUAGUAAGUAAAUUUGAGUUUUAUUGUUGUGAUUAGGUUUAACACUCAAAACAUUGAUUAUUUUAUAUUUUGUAUAUAUUGAAUGUACAUGUAUUUUUAUUUAUUUUACAUAUUUUAUUUUAAAAUUACUAAUUUAAAUGAAAAUAUAAUUCACUAUAAUAGGAAAUUAUUUUUUUUUUUAAAAAGAAUCAAAACAUAAUAUUAAUUAUCAAUAUUUAAAUAAACAUAUGACUGAAUAUUUUGCCAAAUUUAUUUUUAAAAUUCAGUUCUAAAUUUAUGGGAUUGUGUUCAUUCCAGUAUAUCAUAUGAUUCUUUUGAGAUUGGUGCAUGUAAUUGAAAACCAAGGAAACUAUAAUUAGCUAAUGUGCAGCAUCAAAAGAGAAUAUAUUCAUGUGCAUCUCUAAUUAGCUAUACUUAAAACACACUCUGUCUUCUUGUUGAUAAAACCAUAGACUGAUAUGAAUAAAUGAAAACCCUUAUAGACUGAUUCUCAAUUGCUGAUUGAGGCAUUUUCCUAGUUUUUUUCUGUAGUUCCUUUGGUCUCUUUUUGUCUUUCUCUAGAUUUUCUCUCGCUUAAUCUCAUCCUCACCAUUUCUGAACCACUUGCCCUCUCUUCCUCUCAAGCCUCUUUGCUGUUUCUCUCAGCUAUAUCUCCUUCACUUGGACAACAAUUAUAUAAUAAGAUUAUUAAUUAUGUGCGAAAAUAUUAUUUUAAAUUGAUGUCAAAUGUUCUGCUAGAUUAAAAAAUUGAUCAAAAACAAAUUCUGGAUUAUUAAAUAUUCUAUUAAUAAAUUUGGUUUAAACCUAUAAUAUGAUGAAAAUGUGGAAUAUUUAAUAAACUUUUACAAAUUGUAGUGUUAAUUUUUUAGACAAAUUCUAUUGAUGAAAUUUUCAUCAGGAAAAUGAAGGAUUCAGCUUUAUUAAUAGUGUAACAUUAUUUUUAAUAUUUUUUAUUAGAUCUAAUUGUUUAUAACUAAAUAAGAGGUGUGGUUGGACGAAUUUCUUUUCAAAUGUGUCAAUGCUCUGAUUGCUUUUAUUAGGUUAGCAGGUGCCAUUUGUCGAGAAGAUAUGUUAUAGGAAAUGUGUUACGUCGUGUGAGUUUUAACUAAUACUCCCUCUGUUUCUUAUAGAUCCAUUUUUUAGAAAAAUAAUUUGUUUCAAAAAUAUACAUUUUUUACAUUUUCAAGACAUUAAUUAAUGAAAAAUUGUACUUUUCAAAAAAUACAAUUGUGUUUAAUAAAAUCUCAUUGGUUAAAAGUUAUUGGGAAUAGUUAAUUAAGAAAAACAAUGUAAUGGAAAAUACAAUUUUAAAUGUUUUCUUAUAAGUGUGAAAAAACUAUAACAUGGAUCUUUUAGGAACGGAGGGAGUAUUGUUUUAAUGAUUUGUAAUUGUAUCAUAUAUUUCACGUAAGGUAAUUUAUUCUGAAAGACUUUCCUCUAGGCUCCCAUUUUCCAUUUUCCAUGAACUCAUACACCAAAUACCCCAUAUGCAGGACAUGAAGAAACCUGUGAGGAUUUCCUGAGCAACAUUAGGGGUGUGAUCAAGUGUAUAUUUUGUACCAGACAUCGUUAUGUACGAAUGAAUUCAACCACCAUAUUUCUCGUGUGAUUCCCUUCUUUCUUUCAUUUCUGCUUGCUUCCUUCUAGUUCUGCCAUCAUCUGCGCUUUCACACUUGAUUCCAUUGUAGCUCUACACUUGGCCUUCUCCAUCUUUGGAAAAGCCAGGACUGCCGCUUCAGCACUCCUAAGUUCCUCAAAUCUCCGAGGUUCUUACACAGGUUAUGCUAAUUUUUCAAGAGAAACAUGGGAGUCAUAAAGUUUUAGACGGAGCAAGCUGAGCUUACUCAUCAUCAACUAUAUCUGCUGACAUCUAUAUUUCUAACAGCCCUUUUGUAUUAAGUGCUUCUCUGGACGCUGAGCUGUACAUGUCCAUGGUUUGCCUGAGUUCAAGCCUUCAUCUUCUCAUCUCAGCUUCAAUAUUUCUCUGGCAAUGACUGGUGUUUAUUUGCGGUGAAAACCUUCUUGCCAAUGCGAAUGGUCAUCACGCUAAUGUCUGGUAAGAGUCCGUGUUUUCAACUUCGUUGGUUAUGGCGACGCUCAUCAAGUAUAACUUCAGGGAAGAUUUUCUGAUAAUCAAGAAAUAAACAAAUGGAUCCCACUUAAACUGAAUGUUUGGAUUAAAAGCUUGAUAAUGAAUUUACAAAUAAAGUGAAACAGAAUCAACAGUGCAUUUGUUUUAAUCAUCAAAUGAGUUAAAUGAGAACCAGUCCAUUGGCAUGCUAUUACAGUUCUGCUCAUUUGAUGAUUUUUGUUGCAUCAUCUUUGCCAUUCUGCUACACUUUAUUUACAUAUACAAAUUCAAAACUCUUCAACACUGUACUAUUUUUUUUUUAUUAUGGGUUUGCAAGGUAUUAGACGCGUGAUGCAUGUUGGCCAAUUAUUGUUAAAUCCUUCUUAAAAAGCUAUCUUUACUUUUCUAUCGAGGAAAGAAUAAUGUUUGCCAAGGAAACAGAACCUAAGUUCAGAUGCUUUUGUAAUGUCUUUGAUGCUUUGUCUAAACAUCCAAGAUGGCCAAGAGCUUGAAAGUGGUAAUUAGAGACCUUACCAUGUUUACUUGCAUUAGAAGGUAAAGCUUAUAUUAUUAUUUUCCAAGUAUUAAUUAAUAUGAUUUCGUAUUGGGAGCAAACUUUAUACCAGAAUUAGAUGUGGUAUGUCAAGGUGCAACGAAAAUGAACAGCGUAUAUGCUUAGACAGCCCCAGACCCAGUCCCAUUACUUUGGAAGAUCUAUUCCCUAACUUCAGAUCCUAAAGCAAUGGAUACAUCAGGGAAAUAUUCUAACAAAGGCUACUACUAUGGCGAUUCGUUGCUGGAGACUUCGAGUUCUGUUUCUGGGUCUCAUGGAGCUCAAUCUAGGAAAUUUUUUUCCUCUCGGAUCAAUUCCCCCAACUUAAAGGAAUCUUCAUCAUCAGAGAAAGACACUGGUAUCACUACCGGUAAAGAGAUCAACGGCUCAGACGAGAAAUAGACAGUUGGCUCAGACAAGAGACGAUCGACGGUUAACAAGAAGAUGAUAAGCAGAACAGAGAGCUGGAGUCUGUUCGAGUUCAAGAGUGCUCCUUUGUACGGUGUAACUUCGAUCUGUGGAAGACCACCGGAGAUGGAAUAUGAUGUCUCCAUGAUAUCCAGAUUCCUCCAAUCUACAAAGAUUUCUUUAAUAGAUGGUUGUUUCAGUCCUCAAUCAACCGCUCAUUCAUUUGGUGUCUACGACGGCCAUGGCGGAGAGCAGUGAGGCUAGAAAUAAGUACAUUAACAAGAGAGUGUUGACUUUGGAGUCCAUACGUCUACAGAUCAGAAACUAAUACAUGGACUUUACCAGUACAUAUAUUUCAGGGAAGAUUUUGAUUAAAUAUAUGGAUCUUAAUAUGUGUCGUCUUGAGAAUCAAGUCCAACUAUGUCGACAUCAUGCGCUCUUCUCUUCGCUCAGACUUCAAACAAAGAGGAACAAUGAGAAUGAAGAUAAACAUAGAGAAUGCUUAGACGAGCUAUGAAGAUUAUUGUGAAAUGAAGAGAGAUGAGGGAGGAGACUGGAGAACCAGAGUGAAAUGUCAGGAGACACUGCCUGAUUUUGGAGCCUCUUUGGUUUCAUCGGAGACGUGGGAACAUUGUUUCUACAUUAUUGCAGGUUACAAAGGGACAUGUAGAAUUGUGUUUUUUUUCUUUCAAAGGAGAACCUCAAGAGAAGAAGAUGAUACACUUACGAAGAUAUCUUGCUGAAUAUGCAACUUCAGUAAAAAAAGAAGUGAGUGGCAUCACCAUCAUCUGUGGAAAGAAAUAAUGUCCAAAUUGUUUACCAAUAGAAAUUUUAUGUUUCUGAAAAAUAUUAAAUUUUGAGAUUCAAACCUAAUAUAAGUAUGGUUGUAUACUACGAAAUUGAAUCUAAAAUUCAAAGGUAUAUAAGUUGAAUAGUAUGUUAUA